UCGAACGGGCUCUUCGGAGCUAGUGGCGGACGGGUGAGUAACGCGUGAGAAUCUGCCUCCAGGUCUGGGACAACAGAAGGAAACUUCUGCUAAUCCCGGAUGAGCCCUUGGGUAAAAGAUAAAUUGCCUGGAGAUGAGCUCGCGUCUGAUUAGCUAGUUGGUGUGAUAAAAGCAUACCAAGGCGACGAUCAGUAGCUGGUCUGAGAGGAUGAGCAGCCACACUGGGACUGAGACACGGCCCAGACUCCUACGGGAGGCAGCAGCGGGGAAUUUUCCGCAAUGGGCGAAAGCCUGACGGAGCAAGACCGCGUGGGGGAGGAAAGCUCUAGGGUUGUAAACCCCUUUUCUUUGGGAAGAAGUACUGACGGUACCAAAGGAAUCAGCCUCGGCUAACUCCGUGCCAGCAGCCGCGGUAAUACUGAGGAGGCAAGCGUUCUCCGGAAUGAUUGGGCGUAAAGCGUCCGCAGGUGGCCAUGUAUAGUCUGCUGUCAAAACCCAGGGUUUAACUCUGGUCAGGCAAUGGAA
rnacentral:rRNA from 1 species